UAGGGAAUCUUCCACAAUGGACGCAAGUCUGAUGGAGCAACGCCGCGUGAGUGAAGAAGGUUUUCGGACCGUAAAGCUCUGUUGUUGGUGAAGAAGGAUAGAGGUAGUAACUGGCCUUUAUUUGACGGUAAUCAACCAGAAAGUCACGGCUAACUACGUGCCAGCAGCCGCGGUAAUCGUAGGUGGCAAGCGUUGUCCGGAUUUAUUGGGCGUAAAGCGAGCGCAGGCGGAAGAAUAAGUCUGAUGUGAAAGCCCUCGGCUUAACCGAGGAAUUGCAUCGGAAACUGUUUUUC
rnacentral:rRNA from 1 species